GUGUUGUCUAGUUUGCAUCCUGAGUGUGAGUAUAUCUUUCAGUUGGCAAGAGAUGAACAGCGGUGUCUCAGAGAGAUCACAGAUCUCGGGAACCUCAGCAGCUCCUCAGGUUGUCUGCCAGUAUGGGAUUCAGUAGUGUGUUGGCCCAGGGCUGCAGUGGGUGAGACGAUCCACUCGCCCUGUCCUGCUGUUUUCUCUGUCAUCAAGAACAACACGGGUAUAGUGAGUCGUAACUGUACGCCUGGCGGCUGGUCACAUCCGUUCCCUCCGUACCAUGAGGCCUGCAGUGUUGAGGACGAAAUCCCAGAGG